GCAAGUCGAACGGUGUAGCAAUACAUAGUGGCGCACGGGUGCGUAACACGUAUGCAACCUACCUUAUACUGAGGGAUAGCCUUUGGAAACGGAGAUUAAUACCUCAUGGGACAUUGACUUGGCAUCGGGUUAAUGUUAAAGAUUUAUUGGUACAAGAUGGGCAUGCGUCCAAUUAGUUAGUUGGUGAGGCAACGGCUCACCAAGACGAAUGAUUGGUAGGGGAACUGAGAGGUUAAUCCCCCACACUGGCACUGAGAUACGGGCCAGACUCCUACGGGAGGCAGCAGUAGGGAAUAUUGGGCAAUGGAGGCAACUCUGACCCAGCCAUGCCGCGUGCAGGAUGAAGGCGUUAUGCGUUGUAAACUGCUUUUAUAUAGGAAGAAAUAGACCUUGCGAGGUAAGUUGACGGUACUAUAUGAAUAAGCACCGGCUAACUCCGUGCCAGCAGCCGCGGUAAUACGGAGGGUGCAAGCGUUGUCCGGAUUUAUUGGGUUUAAAGGGUGCGUAGGCGGUUUAUUAAGUCAGUGGUGAAAGACGGUCGCUCAACGAUUGCAGUGCCAUUGAUACUGGUAG
rnacentral:rRNA from 1 species